GCCUCGGUGGCUCAGUUGGCAGAGCGGCUGACUCGUAAUCAGCAGGUCGGGGGUUCAAAUCCCCUCCGAGGCU
rnacentral:tRNA from 1 species